rnacentral:lncRNA from 1 species
AUUGCUUCACUGAGCAAGAUGCAGUAAGCUUGGUCUCUAAGUCCUAUGGCCUCAUCAAAUAGUUAUUGGCAUAUUUCUUAGUUAGGUCAGACCCAUCGUUCACCAGCGGAUGCAAAGCUAUCAUUGGGACCCUCACCUAACAGUUAUUGAGCCCAACCCUACCUCUACUCUGAGACAUCAAAUAUCAAUAGAGUGAUUGUACCUUCUCGAUGCAACCGAACUACUGUAACCAAUCGAGAAUGAUCGACGC